rnacentral:snRNA from 1 species
GGUUCCCUCCGAAGUUUCCCU